rnacentral:rRNA from 1 species
GACGAACGCUGGCGGCGUGCUUAACACAUGCAAGUCGAACGGAAAGGCCCUGCUUUUGUGGGGUGCUCGAGUGGCGAACGGGUGAGUAACACGUGAGUAACCUGCCCUUGACUUUGGGAUAACUUCAGGAAACUGGGGCUAAUACCGGAUAGGAGCUCCUGCUGCAUGGUGGGGGUUGGAAAGUUUCGGCGGGUGGGGAGGGACUCGCGGCUUAUCAGCUUGUUGGUGGGGUAGUGGCUUACCAAGGCUUUGACGGGUAGACGGCCUGAGAGGGUGACCGGCCCCAUUGGGACUGAGAUACGGCCCAGACUCCUACGGGAGGCAGCAGUGGGGAAUAUUGCACAAUGGGCGGAAGCCUGAUGCAGCAACGUCGCGUGCGGGAUGACGGCCUUCGGGUUGUAAACCGCUUUCGCCUGUGACGAAGAGUGAGUGACGGUAAUGGGUAAAGAAGCACCGGCUAACUACGUG